rnacentral:rRNA from 1 species
GAACGGGUGAGUAACACGUGGGCAAUCUGCCCUUCACUCUGGGACAAGCCCUGGAAACGGGGUCUAAUACCGGAUACCACUCCUGCCUGCAUGGGCGGGGGUUGAAAGCUCCGGCGGUGAAGGAUGAGCCCGCGGCCUAUCAGCUUGUUGGUGGGGUAAUGGCCCACCAAGGCGACGACGGGUAGCCGGCCUGAGAGGGCGACCGGCCACACUGGGACUGAGACACGGCCCAGACUCCUACGGGAGGCAGCAGUGGGGAAUAUUGCACAAUGGGCGAAAGCCUGAUGCAGCGACGCCGCGUGAGGGAUGACGGCCUUCGGGUUGUAAACCUCUUUCAGCAGGGAAGAAGCGAAAGUGACGGUACCUGCAGAAGAAGCGCCGGCUAACUACGUGCCAGCAGCCGCGGUAAUACGUAGGGCGCAAGCGUUGUCCGGAAUUAUUGGGCGUAAAGAGCUCGUAGGCGGCUUGUCACGUCGGAUGUGAAAGCCCGAGGCUUAACCUCGGGUCUGCAUUCGAUACGGGCUAGCUAGAGUGUGGUAGGGGAGAUCGGAAUUCCUGGUGUAGCGGUGAAAUGCNCAGAUAUCAAGANGAACACCGGUGGCGAAGGCCGAUCUCUGGGCCAUUACUGACNCUGANGAACCAAA